rnacentral:rRNA from 1 species
UACGUAGGGUGCAAGCGUUAAUCGGAAUUACUGGGCGUAAAGCGUGCGCAGGCGGUUAUGUAAGACAGAUGUGAAAUGCCCGGGCUUAACCUGGGAACUGCAUUUGUGACUGCAUGGCUAGAGUUUGGCAGAGGGGGGUAGAAUUCCACGUGUAGCAGUGAAAUGCGUAGAUAUGUGGAGGAACACCGAUGGCGAAGGCAGCCCCCUGGGUCAAGAUUGACGCUCAUGC